rnacentral:rRNA from 1 species
UGGAAACGACUGUUAAUACCGCAUAAUAUCUGCGGAUUAAAGGUGGCCUUUGCGCUGCCGCAGAUGGAUGAGCCUGCGUUGGAUUAGCUAGUUGGUGGGGUAAGGGCCUACCAAGGCUACGAUCCAUAGCUGAUUUGAGAGGAUGAUCAGCCACAUUGGGACUGAGACACGGCCCAAACUCCUACGGGAGGCAGCAGUGGGGAAUAUUGGACAAUGGGGGAAACCCUGAUCCAGCAAUGCCAUGUGUGUGAAGAAGGCUCUAGGGUUGUAAAGCACUUUAGUUGGGGAGGAAAGCCUGUGAGUUAAUAGCUUGCAGGAAGGACGUUGCCCAAAGAAUAAGGACCGGCUAACUCCGUGCCAGCAGCCGCGGUAAUACGGGGGGUCCGAGCGUUAAUCGGAAUUACUGGGCGUAAAGGGUCUGUAGGUGGUUUGUUAAGUCAGAUGUGAAAGCCCAGGGCUCAACCUUGGAACUGCAUUUGAUACUGACAAACUAGAGUAUGGUAGAGGAAUAGGGAACUUCUGGUGUAGCGGUGAAAUGCGUAGAGAUCAGAAGGAACACCAAUGGCGAAGGCAACAUUCUGGACCAAUACUGACACUGAGGGACGAAAGCGUGGGGAUCAAACAGGAUUAGAUACCCUGGUAGUCCACGCUGUAAACGAUGAGUACUAGCUGUUGGAUUCGGUGUAAAGGAUCUAGUGGCGCAGCUAACGCGUUAAGUACUCCGCCUGGGGACUACGGCCGCAAGGCUAAAACUCAAAGGAAUUGACGGGGACCCGCACAAGCGGUGGAGCAUGUGGUUUAAUUCGAUGCAACGCGAAGAACCUUACCUGGUCUUGACAUCCUGCGAACUUUCUAGAGAUAGAUUGGUGCCUUCGGGAACGCAGUGACAGGUGCUGCACGGCUGUCGUCAGCUCGUGUUGUGAAAUGUUGGGUUAAGUCCCGCAACGAGCGCAACCCCUAUUGAUAGUUACCAUCAUUAAGUUGGGUACUCUAUUGAGACUGCCGCUGACAAGGCGGAGGAAGGUGGGGGACGACGUCAAGUCAUCAUGGCCCUUACGACCAGGGCUACACACGUGCU